CCACCGUGUCACAAUGCUUCCAUUUCUUGUGAAAGCCUCCCUUACAAGAAAGGAGACCCGGCAUGCGGUCCAUGGGAGGUGGACCUCUGUCUGGCCUGCUCCAUCUCUGCCAGGAGUCCUGGUUGGGGCAGCUACAGGGGCAGGCUCACGAGGACCCAGGGGCGCGAGGAACCAGUGUCUCCUUGGAAGCCUCUCAACCUCUCUCUGGCUACUCGGAACUUAAUACCUGAGAGACGAGGGUUGGUGAGAAGGAAAUUAGUUUUGCUCAAGAACCAGAACCUUGAGGGAGUGGGGGAGGGGCUGUUGACUCAGAGCCUCAUCUUCAGGAACUUAGGGGCACAAAGGACGGCGAGUAGGAGACAAGCUGCAGGACGGCAGGACGGCAGGACGCUACACACUGAGCAGGCCCUCCCCACUCAGGGCUUGAAUAUUGCAGCUGACCUUGCCCUGGGACAAGGCACAGCUUUUCUGCAAAAUGAACAUCACAGCCAUUCACGUGCUUUGCCUUGUGGAGAAGGGAAGAGUCUUUACAGAAUUUUGUGACUUUAUUUUAAACCAUCUUUACAUUGUGGCCAUUCGUCCCAUUGCACCCAAUAUCUCAACGGAGAGGCUCCCUGGGUCGCUGGAGGCCCCUUCCAGUCUCCAGGAGGCAGUCUGUCAGCCUCGAGGAAAUAAAAUAGGGAAGGCUGAAUUCGCAUCUAAUCUGGCCGAUCUGACAUCACCGGAGACCCUGGCCCACUUCUCUUUAGAAUGUAGACCACUGGCAAAGGAAGGGGAAGGAGCCUUGGAAAGGCGACUCCCGAAGGAGCAGCACCCCAGCUCUUCCCACACCAGCACCUCGGCCUCCUCCCACCCUGUCACCUCUGCCACCCAGGGUGGCUGGCCAGAGUGUCCUGCUCCAGGCAACGUGGAUCUCUCUGGCCCUGGAUCUGCUGCGGGCCAAGAGGGAACUGGCUUUCUGGGUCUCGGGCUCAUUUUCCCCUUUAUUCCAUUUGCCAGGAUUGUUUUAUUUCCUCUUUGCUUAGUUAUUUUCUGAUAUCCCACUCUGCAGAAUAUGUUUUCAAUGAAGAACUGACAGUAGGUAUUUCAGGUUCAUUCCGUACAGUUUCUGUGGCUGAUAUUCCACUCUGCUGCUGUGGCUUAAAACAAAUGAGGUCGCCCGGCUGCAUUCAAAUGACUCUUUUGUCAAUGGACUCUGAAAUUUGAGUUUCAUAUAUUAUCCAUGCCACGAAAUUUUUUCUCCUUUCAAUGUUUAUUACGUUUUAAGAUAUUAAAAAAAUAUUCACAGCUUUCAGGUUGCACAGAAGUAGGUGACAGGCUGGAUUUGUCCCAUGGUCUACAGUUUAAUGAGCCUUGCAAUAGAUUGUAAGUCCAGGAGGACGGGAAUGAGUUCAUCCGCUUCAUCAAUGAAUCUCUAAUACCUAGCAGCAUGCCUGGCACAAAAUAGAGGUUCAAGAAACACACAUAAAAUGAAUGAACCAAGGAGGCCAAGUUCAAAACAAAAGAUUUGUGAACAGGUAGGAAGACCAGAGGAAAAAACUCAAUAGCAAAAAUCUGAACACAGAAAAGCUUCUGGUCCAAAGCUGAAUGAACACAGGUCACUAAACACUAUGUCAAAAUGUCCACGGCCAAAUACACACUGUCCUGUGCUAGGCGCCAGUCCUCCCCAAGGGGAAGAGGCCCCCCGACAGAUUGAGAGUGCUGUGCACACCAGGUCCCUGUGGGGUGAGAGCACACAGGACACAUGGGACCGGGAUAGUUAGUGAGAGAAGGAGCUGCUGGUAGGUAGACUCGGUGGGUCAAGAUUUGGGUAAUCCGAGUAACAUGAAGAAGAUCUUAGAGUUUAAGAUUAAAUGCUAAUAGAUCAAGUUGAUUAAAGAGGCUAUUGAUUCAGUCGGUACGGCUGUGACCAUGGAGACAAGGUGGUUCCUAAGAUGAGGUCUUACCGAUGGCCUUGUGUUCUUGGCGUCUAUGCUCUUGCAGAAAAGGGUUUCAAGAGAAGUGAGACUUGGCAAAAGUAUAUCAGAGUUUAAGGAGAGAAAGAAGGGGGCACCCUCAGGGAGUGAGCAGGUCCUCUCAGAGAGCAGGGUGCCAGCUCCCUCCUUGGUGUCCCAGCUUCUGUGGGGUGGGAGGGGGAGAAGGUCUGGCCCGAGCGUCACCUCUGGGCUCUGGGUGGACAGCCUGUGUAGCUAACUACCUGAAGGCAAUUUAGUGACCUGUGUUCUGGGCCUGGCUGACAGGUCCUAACCAGAACUGGUUCUGCAGAGUUCACGUCAGUGGCUCGGGUCUCGAUCGUGUUUCCCAGUCCAGGAACCUCUGUCUGUGUUGUUUGUGCAGGGUCUUGCUUACGAAGUCUUAGCAACCAGGCCCUGCAGAGCACACGAAUCUGUGCCCUUUUGUUCUUACCCCUGAAUUUCUCUAUCUUCCUCUUGUAAGAGGAAUCAUUAUAGGGCUGACAUCAGGCAGGUCCUGACAGACUGUCUUGUCAGACCUGUGGUGUCCCUGAGGGCUGCUUACUAACUGAUUCGUUCUGCACUAGGUAUUUCCUUAAACUCCUGGACCGCCUCAGGUCUAAUGCUACCUAACAGUAGUGCACACCUAUAAACCCAGCCGCUUGGGAGGCUGAGGCAGGAGGAUCACAAGUUAAAAGCCAGUCUGGGCAACUUAGCAAGACCCUGUCUCACAAUUAAA